AUUGACAAGUUCCCUCCAGAUGUUUCCAGCAAUAAGAAUCAGCAUAUUGUGCUCAGCCUCGGAGGCCUCGCAAUUGAAGAGUUGUAGCAAUAAUACAGAUAAUUAAUCUUUGGCGUCAGCAUCAGCGGAAUCUAAUCAGUUCUAUACGAAGUUCUUCUUUUGCCGUCACUUACAGCGUUCGGCUCAGUAAUGAUUUUCAGGCACCGAGAAGAUUGCUGCAUAUCCUGUAUAACAAACUAAGAAGCAGUGGAAGAGUCUGGACUGCGGCCAGAGGG